rnacentral:rRNA from 1 species
AAACAAUUGUACUGUGAAACUGCGAAUGGCUCAUUAUAUCAGUUAUAGUUUAUUUGAUAGUACCUACUACUUGGAUAACCGUAGUAAUUCUAGAGCUAAUACAUGCAUUAACUCCCAACUGCCUCGGCGGACGGGAUGUAUUUAUUAGAUAAAAACCAAUGCGGGCAGCAAUGUCCGGUGUUGCGGUGAGUCAUAAUAACUUUGCGAAUCGUAUGGCCAUGCGCCGACGAUGAAUCAUUCAAGUUUCUGCCCUAUCAGCUGUCGAUGGUAGGGUAUUGGCCUACCAUGGCGUUAACGGGUAACGGAGAAUUAGGGUUCGAUUCCGGAGAGGGAGCCUGAGAAACGGCUACCACAUCCAAGGAAGGCAGCAGGCGCGUAAAUUACCCAAUCCUGACACAGGGAGGGUAGUGACAAUAAAUAACAAUAUGGAACCCUAGUGGUUACUGUAAUUGGAAUGAGAACAAUUUAAAUCCCUUAACGAGGAUCAAUUGGAGGGCAAGUCUGGUGCCAGCAGCCGCGGUAAUUCCAGCUCCAAUAGCGUAUAUUAAAAGUUGUUGCAGUUAAAAAGCUCGUAGUUGGAUUUCUGGCGGGAGCAGCCAGUCCUGCCUCUGCGANGGGUGUGCACUAGCGCUGUAUCCGGCCAUCCUUGUGGAG